rnacentral:tRNA from 1 species
AGGGGUACAGCUCAGUGGCAGAGCACAUGCUUAGCAUGCAUGAGGUCCUGGGUUCAAUCCUCAGUACCUCCA